UGAGGAAUAUUGGUCAAUGGGGGCAACCCUGAACCAGCCAAGUCGCGUGAAGGAUGAAGGUCUUAUGGAUUGUAAACUUCUUUUACACGGGAGUAAAGUGGGGGACGUGUCCCCCUUUGCAUGUACCGUGUGAAUAAGGAUCGGCUAACUCCGUGCCAGCAGCCGCGGUAAUACGGAGGAUCCGAGCGUUAUCCGGAUUUAUUGGGUUUAAAGGGUGCGCAGGCGGGAUGUUAAGUCGGCGGUGAAAUUUUGCAGCUCAACUGUAAAAUUGCAGUUGAUACUGUUUUUCUGGAGUGUACAUAAGGUAGGAGGAAUUCGUGGUGUAGCGGUGAAAUGCUUAGAUAUCACGAAGAACUCCCAUUACGAAGGCAGCUUACCGGGGUACAACUGACGCUGAUGCACGAAAGUGUGGGUAUCAAACA
rnacentral:rRNA from 1 species